CUUGGUUAGAAACAUGUGAUGAACAAAAAAUGAUGACUCAGCAGAUUAUGAUCAGGACAUAUGAUGCACUAUAAUUAAUGGGUUGCUUGUCAUAAGCUCAACCAACAAUGCCUUGGUUAAUCAUGUCUGCUCAAUCAAAAUGUAUCGUACCAUAAUGAAGGUGUUUCUCAUUGCAAAUUAGACCUUGGCCUUUUAUUUUAG
rnacentral:lncRNA from 1 species